rnacentral:rRNA from 1 species
GACUCCUACGGGAGGCAGCAGUGAGGAAUAUUGGACAAUGGGCGCAAGCUGAUCCAGCCAUGCCGCGUGCAGGAUGACGGUCCUAUGGAUUGUAAACUGCUUUUAUACGAGAAGAAACACUCCUUCGUGAAGGAAUUUGACGGUAUCGUAAGAAUAAGGAUCGGCUAACUCCGUGCCAGCAGCCGCGGUAAU